CUCCAGCUGAUGAGUCCCAAAUAGAACGAAACGUGCAUCCUGGAU
rnacentral:hammerhead_ribozyme from 1 species